rnacentral:rRNA from 1 species
AUUGAACGCUGGCGGCAGGCCUAACACAUGCAAGUCGAGCGAGCGGCGGACGGGUGCGUAAUGUAUGGGGACUGCCCGUUAGAGGGGGAUCACUACUGGACACGGUGGCUAAUACCGCAUACUGUCGGAUACACCAAAUGGGAUUAGCUAGUAGGUAAGGUAAUGGCUUACCUAGGCGACGAUCACUAGCUGGUCUGAGAGGAUGAUCAGCCACACUGGGACGGAGACACGGCCCAGACUCCUACGGAGGCAGCAGUGGGGAAUAUUGCACAAUGGGCGCAAGCCUGAUGCAGCCAUGCCGCGUGUAUGAAGAAGGCCCUAGGGUUGUAAAGUACUGUCAGUCGGGAGGCGUUACCGACAGAAGAAGCACCGGCUAACUCCGUGCCAGCAGCCGCGGUAAUUC